rnacentral:lncRNA from 1 species
UUUGGUAGCCAUAGUUGCAAGUGAGAAAAAAACUUUCUCUUGCUCUUUAAUUAUUAUUUCUUCAAAUCAAACACAAGUUUCACCCAAACCACAAACUUUUCCAAUAAAGUAGACGACCCUUUUUUAAGCUCAUCUCCUUUAUUAUCUUCAUCAUUCAAGCCUAGGUUUUCAUAGGCUUAGUGAGAGAAAACUUGAGGCAGUCAAAGAAAGCUUCAAUCAAAGUAAGAUACGGUAUUUUUUUUAUCUUCCAAGUGUUUACUUAGGAUAUUUUAGAAGAGAAGUGUUAGGAAAUGUGUAUUAAUAUAUAUUGUUUAUAUUUUUGGUAUAAUAAAUGUUGAUGGGUGGAUAAAAUGUCUUUGAGCAGAGGAAUUAUUGGAAUCAAAACUUGAGAGUGAUUGAGUAAGCUUUGUUUUGGAAUUUUUUCCUUGAAAAUAAUAAUCACCAUGGAUUUCUUAACUUUCCUUUAAUAAAUCAAUUUUGAAAAAUUGUUCAAAUUAAUGAAUUAAAGUUUUGUGAUGAGUUUGUAAGCUAAAAAUAUAAGAAAUAUUUUUUUAAAGCCAUGGUUUAGUAAGAUAUACUAGUUUGGACAAAUUAAUGGCAUUUAUGGAACUUGGCUUAGUUACAUGAAAUGAGAUGAAAAAAUAGUAUGUGAAUUUAUGAGAUGGUAUCAUGUGAUAAAAAUAGAUUAAUGGACAAAUAUUAAAUUAAAAGUUGUGGUUCAAUAAAACUAAAUGAGAUUCCGUGAAAAAGGAGAAACUUCUUAAUAAAUAAAGUCUAUAUAUAUAUAUAUGAAUAAUGAAUGGUUACUUGAGUGAAAUACGUACGUGGAAAUAUUGUUGAGAGCAUUAAAUGCUUGAAAACCUUAAUAAAAACAAAUGUUAAGUGAAGUGAGAUUAAAAAAUGUAAGAUAAUGAUGGAUGCUUGAAAAGUCCAAUAAUGAAAUGUUUUUUAAUUAUCCAAUAAUGAAAUGUUAAUAUGUGCCUUAUAUCAUUAAAAUAUUAUUAAAUUCUAUUUAUAUGAAAAACCAUGUUAAAAGUGCAAUGUGAUUUUAUUAUGAAAUGUCAUAGUAAUUAGUGAUUAACGAAGAUAUAAAUGGCAUAUCAUAGGAGUUUGUAAAUUCUACUACCUGACUCGAUUUAUCAAAUCCAAAUAUAGGAUGUCACAAUACCUACAUACUUAAUAAAAAAUUUUGAAAACUGGCGAAGACCCUACUAAACAUGCCUUUUAUUUGUUUAUUUAUUAUUCUAAGCCAAAGAUUUUGACUUAAGAUUACAACAUAUUCUCAAAUAUUAGUAUAAGUCAAUCUAACUUAAAUAUUUAUUGAAAUAGACUCAAUCUUAGCGUAUAAUACUAUUCACCACUUGAAAACAUAUUCCCAAAAGUGUCCUUUGCAUAUUGCUAUUCAAACUGCCACCUUGAUGCAUUCCUGGCUUGUUUCAUCCAUGCCUUGGUUCAAUAACAAGAACUUGCAUUACACAUAGACUUCCGCAAUUUCAACAGAAUUUAAUGAAUCUCAACCAUCAUUACCUUUAAGUGGUGUUUUUGAAAUCCUCGACUUAAGAAUUCUAGACUUCCUUUUUCACUUUUUAUUGAUACUUUUUUAUUCCUGGUGGAUAACCAUAAGCCCAUCUCCACCCCUUUCCACCUUAUACACAUUCCGCUCAGUUGGCGGAUCACAAACUUAAGUCUUUAUUUCGGACCCUAUCUCAAAAAUAUUUUUUAAGAUAGAAGAUGGAUAUAUUCCUUGGAAUGAUAUGCGCGCAGCUGCUAUCCAUUGUGGAUUCAUAAACUGGCUCUAGCAUAUUGUAAGGUCUGUAGUCACACUAUACCUAUAAUUUAGUCCAGUCUAACGAACUUGGUCCGGUAAAUACCAUAUUCAUGAUCAUACAAUGGAAAUACAUAUGAUUCUGAUACAUAAUAUGAGAAUUUCCAGGAUGGACGGACAUGUAUACCACCCUAAGUUUCGGAUAUGUUAGGGUCUCUACCUUGGUUGAUCACUAAACUGGAUUCACUAGUUAGGUACACUACGAAGAUUCUCCUAUAGAAAAUGCCACAAAGGCAUACUCAGAUCGUUGCUACAAAAUGGAACUAACAUCUCACACUUAAGUGUUACAAAAUUCACCUUACAGGCUUCCCGGAUGACUUGCCACAAAGGCUUCCAAGAUGUCUUGCCAAAAAGGCUUCCUAGAUGUCUUGCCACAAAGGCUUUACAAAUGAUCUGCCAUAAAGCUUCCUAGAUGACUUACCACAAAGGCUUUACAAAUGAUCCACCACAAAGGCUUCUUAGAUGUCUUGCUACAAAGGAUUUACAAAUGAUCUGCCACAAAGCUUCCUAGAUGACUCGUCACAAAGGCUUUACGAUGAUCCACCAAAAAGGCUUCCCAAAUGACUCACCAGAAAGGCUUUACAGAUUAUCUGCCACAAAGUCUUUACAGAUUAUUCGCCAUAAAGGCUUCUCAGAUGUCUUGCCAUAAAGGCUUUACAGAUAAUUUGCCAUAAAGGCU